CCUACGGGGUGCAGCAGUGGGGAAUAUUGGACAAUGGGCGAAAGCCUGAUCCAGCCAUGCCGCGUGUGUGAAGAAGGCCUUCGGGUUGUAAAGCACUUUCAGUGGGGAAGAAAGCCUUGGGGCUAAUACCCUCGAGGAAGGACAUCACCCACAGAAGAAGCACCGGCUAACUCCGUGCCAGCAGCCGCGGUAAUACGGAGGGUGCGAGCGUUAAUCGGAAUUACUGGGCGUAAAGCGCGCGUAGGCGGUCUGAUAAGCCGGUUGUGAAAGCCCCGGGCUCAACCUGGGAACGGCAUCCGGAAACGGGAAGGGGGGGGCGGAGGGGAGGAAGUAAAAAUCCCCGGGGUAGCGGUGAAAUGCGUGGAGAUCGGGAGGAAUACCAGUGGGGACGGGGGCCUUCUGGACGAACACUGACGCGGGGGCGCGAAGGGGUGGGAAGCAAACGGGCUAAGAUACCCGAGUAGUC
rnacentral:rRNA from 1 species